rnacentral:rRNA from 1 species
UACGGAGGGUGCAAGCGUUGUCCGGAUUUAUUGGGUGUAAAGGGCGUGUAGGCGGAGUGAUGUGUCGAGAGUGAAAUCGUGCGGCUUAACCGUAUCAAUUGCUCUCGAAACUGUCACCCUUGAGUACGAGAGGGGCAGAUGGAAUUCCAGGUGUAGCGGUGGAAUGCGUAGAUAUCUGGAAGAACACCGGUGGCGAAGGCGGUCUGCUGGCUCGAUACUGACGCUGAGGCGCGAAAGUGUGGGGA